CGUCGCUGAUCGCGGACAGCGGCGCCAUAACGGGCCACGUUAGCGCGCGGUGUCAAUAAAAAGCGGAAUAAGAAGGUAUAAGGGGGAAGAAAAGGGGGUGAGUUCUUUCGGUGUUCCACGGGAACUCCUGAGAGUAUUUGGAGUUUUGUGUACUGGUAUUUCAGGAGAUAGGAAGAUAGAAGGACGGGAAGUUGUUCCGGGGUUCUUCGGAACUCCUGGAGCGAUCAGUGUACAGAAGUCGGUGUGCUGGGGUUUAUUAAAUCCGAAUGUUACGAUACCAAAAAAGAUUGCCUAGGAAGAUAGGAAGACAGAAAAGUGGAGAGUUCUUCCGUUAUCCUUGGAACUCCCGGUGUGUCUAGUGCGAAGAAGAGUACAGUGUUUCGGAGUUCGUCGCAUCCGAGUACUAGAAAACCGCUAAGGAGAUCGCGCAGGAAGAUAGAAAACUAGAGAAACAUCGAGUUCUCCCGUCACCCUUGGAACUCCUGGAGCGUCAAGUGUACUGCAAGAUUUACCACCAUCCUGGAGUUUCUCCAAAUACUAGAGAGUCCCGAAAGAGAUCGCCUAGAAAAACCUAGAAUUACUCCUAGAUUAUUCAGUGUCCAGGAGUCCCUCACCUCCGAAUCUUAAUACCAAAGGAGCCCACCAAUUAGCUAGUUAAUCGAAGAACCGAUACGUUCGGAAUAUAACACUCAGCUCGAGCCUGAGGAUCAGUUUCUCCAAAUUUGUUUUCUGGCCCCGCCGAGUGAAGUGCGAUUUGGUGAACGGAGAUUGUGUUGUCCUCCGCGAGGAACGCGAACGCAUCCAGGGGCUGAAAAUGUGAGGAAGUUGUUGUUCCGGCUGGUUGGCGGGACACAGGACGAUUUCGUUGACAAGAGUGACAACGGGCUAGUGGACACAGGUCCAGGUCGAAUUAGCAGCAUGACAGCCAUCAACUCGGUAUGUAAUUAUCAAGGUCUACCAGACAUAUACAAUUAUGUCAUAUGUUAAGUCCUAAAUCAAACCAAUGACAAUUGGACUCUACCAUGUUAGGUUUCUAAUAAGCAAAAUAUGGGAGACUUUAAAAAAGUACUUGAGCAGGGAUUUCCAUAUUGAAUACUGCUACUAAUCAUAUAUAAAAAAAAAAAAAAACAGAA